ACUUUAUUUACUUUUAUUAGGUGCUCUUCGUUUGUGAGUUUCUUUUUGCAGAACCCACCCUUUCGUGGCUUAUUUUCUUCCUUAUUUUACUGGGUUUGCCUUGGCCUCGAGCUUAUCCCUCUGGGAGCAAGCGAGCUCGUAUUUUAUCUUUUGCUUUUUCAGGUGUCUCGGAUUUGAUGUUGAGGUCAGACCCUUGACUUUGUUUUUAUCUUUGUGUUGAGGUUGUGGCUUCGCUCGUACAUUCGUACUUUCCUUUUACCCCAUUCUUUUGGGUGAGGAUAAAAUCAUAGCUUUUAUUUUGUCAUUUGACCCUUACUAGCUCGGUCCUUCUUUCAUUCGGUCCUUCCAAGCUCGGUCUUACGCAUCUCAGCUCGGUCACCUACCUCACUGAGGUCUUGCACAAGAUUCAGGCUCUUUAGCCUUAUUGUCGCUUCGUCAUCUCAACCGGUUCUUGAGAUGCCAAGUCAUUUUCUGAGCUCGGUCACCUACCUCACUGAGGUCUUGCACAAGAUUCAGGCUCUUUGGCCUUAUUGUCGCUUCGUCAUCUCAGCUGGUUCUUGAGGUGCCGAGUCAUUUUCUGACCUCGAUCACCUACCUCAUUGAGGUCUUGCACAAGAUUCAGGCUCUUUGGCCUUACUGUCGCUUCGUCAUCUCAGCCGGUUCUUAAAGUGCUGAGUCAUUUUCUGAGCUCGGUCACCUACCUCACUGAGGUCUUGCAUAAGAUUCAGGCUCUUUGGCCUUACUAUCGCUUCGUCAUCUCAGCCGGUUCUUGAGGUGCCGAGUCAUUUUCUGAGCUCGGUCACCUACCUCACUAAGGUCUUGAAUAAGAUUCAGGCUCUCUUUUUUAAUGCCUGUUCUGUUUUCUUUUAAAGGAAAAUGAUGCGAAUGACAAAAAAAUGACGUUGUUUGACUUAUUUUGCAUAGUCAAUUUUAUUCACAUUGCUUCAAAAUA
rnacentral:lncRNA from 1 species